GACGAACGCUGGCGGCGUGCUUAACACAUGCAAGUCGAGCGAAGCCACUCCUUCCGGGGGGUGUCCUCGCGACGGACGGGUGAGUAACAAGUGGGCAACCUACCCUCAGCUCUGGGAUAACUCAGGUAAACCGGGGCUAAUACCGGAUACGACAUCCACGGACCUGCACGGUGGAGGAGAGAUUUGCGGCUGUGGAUGGGCCGACGGCCAAUCAGCUAGUUGGUGGGGUAGUGGGUGACCAAGGGGACGACCGGUAGCCCGCCUGAGAGGUGGACCGGGCACCCUGCGCCUGAGGCAGGGCGCAGACGGCAAUGUGCGGCAGCAGUGGGAAGCAUUGCGGAGCGAGCGCACGCCAGUGGCGACGGUGCCGCGUGCGUGACGAAGGGUUACGAGUUGAAAACCACUUUCAGCGGGGACGUAGCGGAAGUGACGGUACCUGCAGAAGAAGCACCGGCCAACUACGUG
rnacentral:rRNA from 1 species